GGAUUGUAGCUCGGUGGUAGAGUGCUUGCCUAGCAUGUAUGAGGCCCUGGGUUCAAUCCUCACACCA
rnacentral:tRNA from 1 species